rnacentral:tmRNA from 1 species
GGUCUUGCACCAGCGCGCCAACGCCCCUAUAUAGGGUUUGUUCCGAUUCGGAACUAUGGGCAUAAACGCGCUCGCAAUAAGCGGACCGGACCCGGGGGCGGUACCCGGCGGCUCCACCAAAAACGCACCUGUCGGGUGCCUUUCUGAUGGGGCCGAAACAGGAUCGACGGACGUGUAAAGGGGUUGCCUUGUCCCGGCGGGAAGCCACCGUUACCGGCGCACCAAAGCUAGUUGCAAACGACAACAAAGCUCCGGUCGCACUCGCUGCCUAAGGCAGUCGCGCAAGACCGACCUUCAAGCCCCGGCCUGUAGCAAGGCCGGGCGGGGUUCGCAGGCACCUGGCAACAGAAGCCUGCAUC